GGCCACAUGGCGCAAUGGCAGCGUGUCACUUUCCGGAGGUGAAGGUUGUGGGUUCGAGUCCCACUUUGGUCG